AACAUAAACUGUAAAAUUUGUUUUCCCACUAAAUAAAAAUAAUGUGUGACUACAGCUUUUAUAUACUGAAACUCUGAAAGCAGUGUGGAACACAGCUGCUUGUCAUAUUUCUGUAAGUCAUGAGGACAUACAACAUAAUAUAUGAAAAUCAGCGUUUGUUACUUGAUUUUCUUGGUAUGGAUUAUGGUACUGGAAGAGAAGGAUUAUAGAGUAAAACUCGUAGAAAUCCCAUCUGUGUUUUUGAUAACAUUCUGGAACAAGUUCAGUGGCAAUCUUAAGAUCCAUAUGGAUCUUAUUGUAGUCCUUCUUUCUCUGGUACUCUCUGGGAAUUGAGGUUCGUGCCCAGUGCACUGUGCCAAUAAGCACACAGAGUUGGAAUCCACACAAAGGUCUUCAAGGCUUCAUCUUCACGGCUUAUUCAGUGGCUGUUCAUCUCUUUCCUACAUUAACCAGUCUGUACACCAGUCUGAUGGCAGUACCUUGGCAGAGACUUCUUUGACCAUGUUAUAUCUUGUCCAUGUAUAUCCUGGUUUGGUGUAUGGCUCUUUGAACACUUCCAUACCAUGAUGCCUUUUUUGGUUCAGUUAUCUGAAUCAGACAAAACAAGUUCCUGUUACUGGGCUUCCUGCAGUCUUGACUAGAAAAGUGACCAGUGCUCACUAAGAGCUGAGAACAGCGCACUUCCAUCUUCUGUCUGUUCAGCAUUUGUCUAUGAUGGAUGGUGUGACUCAAA